rnacentral:lncRNA from 1 species
UGGAACGCGGCGGGGAGCGGAGGGACGAAGACAAUGCGAACGCUCACAGCGCGCAGCACGUGCCCGAGGGCCCCCAGAAGCUUGACUCUGGGGGCUGGGGCUCGCGGCCCACGGGGAGAGGGUGUUGUCGUGAACUUUCAUGAGGUUCUCUUUGUCGAUGACACCCGGGCCACGGUGGGGGCACUAACCCCCCGGGGGGAGGGGUCCUGGGAAUGAAUCGUAGCCCAGCGCUUGGCCUUGAACAGGAUAUUAGUGGAAAUAUUGCUGUGGUUGUCAGGAAACGCGAGUGCAGCCGCACAGCUACUGCCUGUUAUGCAGCGAGGAUAUCCGGUGGCUGCGAGGUCUGUAAUUUAGAAUAAAAAGCUCUCCCAACACCCGAGAGGCUGACCUCAGCGCCGCGUGGCGGUAAUGCGCUCAGCGCCCUCUGUGGAGACGGUCCAAAUCCUGACAGGUGGGAGAGCUUAGGUUAGACCUUCAAGAGCCCUGCAGAUGGACCUGCAGAAUCAGACUGCAAAAGUGAGCCAGCCACUUGCUAAACGUAGUUGAAGUGGAGGGCACAGAUCGCCUGCCAGUUAACAAUAUUAAUAAGUAGUGUUUUCCAGGGCAGACUGCUACUUCCGUGUUGGGUUCUUUACAAAGUGGGUAACUGACCGUUAUUCACGAAGCCAGAAGCGUGUAUCUGCAGUGCCACGAGACUGGAGAAGGAUCCAGGACCACACAGCUGUCUUCUUAGAUAAAUCUGACCCACUUGGCCUUCUCUGGAGGGAUGUUUCGUGCUGACUCACGAGCAACAGGAAGAGUACAGAUGAAAAGCGAGUCUAUACACAAAUUGUAUCUUGACACAUCCUAUAUAAAUUUGACUCAAAUGGUAAACCCAACAACCCUAAUCUAGAGAAGACUAGCCAUGCUAAGUCCCAGGAAGUACUGUGGAGAUGAGGUGAGAUAAGGCAUGCUAAACAUCUGCCAUUAGGUACUCAAGAAAUGCUAGAAAUUGUACUACAAUUUAUUCCCAUUGUGGAGGUGUG